UCUCUGGGCUUUUGAGCAAAGCAAAUACAAAUUAUGACACUCCACUCCACAGUAUGGUCAACAUUGCUCAUUUGGCAGCAGCGCAAACUGAGGAGAACAAAUCAGAAGAAGCACAGCAAAGACUUGAACAUUCCGCCAGUUUAUUUUUUUAAAAUGUAAACGAUGCCACCAAAAAAGCUGAGGAGAGCUUCAACUACAUGCGGGAUCUCCGUGAACGCGCCGACCUGCGCUCCAUCAACACCCAUCUGUCUUUUCUGAUGUCUGAUAUAAUCAGCCAGGCACACGAAGAUGCUGCAGAAUCAAAGAUGUCAGCGCAGAUUAAACAUGGAUCCACAAGGACAGCGAAGGAUGUUGUUUCUGGUUCCAAUGAAGCAUCUUCACUGACCACCGGCUCCUUUUUUCUGAAGCAAGAAACUGCAAGCUGGGAUCCCAAAGACAACAAGAUAGUCUAGGAGACCAGGAAGAUGGCAGACACACUGUACAACAUGACCCAGUACCUGAGGAACAGAGGCCCAUUACUGGUAAGCACCACUAGACUGGAACAAAGAGGCGUUUGUGUGUGCAGCCAAAGAUGUCAUGUCAAAAUGCCAGUCGGUGACCAACUUUAUUCAAGUCAUAGCCAACCACUGCCUGGAUGCACAGUGCGCACUGGAACUGUCCCUCAUAGUGGAGCAGAUUCUCACCAUCACAAACCAGCUCAGCAUCCUUUCCAGUGUCAGUUCUGUAACACUUGGCUGUAAAGCAUCGGAUGAGAUCCUGGUGAAGAACACACAGAAUCUACUCCACACAGUCCUGAAAGGUGUCCAUGCCGCAGAGACUGCCUGCAUCACAGGUUUAAAGCAGCCUGAGCCAAACUCGGAUGGAGCCGAAGCGACCGCCUUGUGUUUCCAGUGGAAGAGGAACUUGGAGAUCCAUAGAGCCCAGCAAACCUCCAACCCAAAAACAGAUGAGCUGGGCCUGAGGAAGAUUUCAUUGCACUCCGUCGCACCGAGUCUUGCUUCACCAGUAUAAGAUGGCUCCAACUUGAUGCUUCAAAGGAAAGGUCACAAUAGAGUUGUACCAGAAUUUCUAUCUUGAGGGGAAGUUUCAGAGAGGGAAAUCAUGUUUACUAUUAUUAAUUGUGGUUGUAGUUUUGAGUCCUGUAGAAAUACAUAGCUUCAUAGUAACAAGGUGUCAUUACACUGUCCCUCUUGUGUAGCUAUAUAACCAACAUAUUAACUGAAAGAGACUUGCACAUGCAUGUACUGACGAACAUUUUAUGUUGCAGGGUAGUGGUUCACAUAUCCAACUGUCAAGCAGCUGGAGUGAAAUCAACUCCCACUCAAUCCUAUUUUGUCUGUUGUGGUGUAAACAUUUAAUUCAUAUUAAGAUACAGUAUGUACAGUGCACUGUAUUUAAAAGCUGAUCAAAUGUGCACAGAAAACAAAGGUCAUCCAGAAAUACAAAUACAAUGAACAUGUUAUUUCAAUGGUUGUCAAAACAAUACAAAAAAAUUCCAAUAUGGCUUAAGUUUCAAAUAUGAACUCAUUUUGACGCAACGCGUCUGAUAUAAAAACAUGUAAAACAACUGUUAAUUACAAAUGCAUCUAAAUACAUUUAUCAGUUUAAUUUAAUAAGGCAAACUCACAGAUUCAUUAGAAAUAGGAAAAUAUCCUCAAGAAGGCCAAUUCCUAUGUAAUUUCUAUAUUAAAAAUAAUUUAGUUUGUUUCUUAAGUAAUAUUCCAAUUUCUUGAAGGUUAAUUUUGGGUUUUAGCUGGAAGCUAUAAUCAUCACAAUUAUAAACCUUUUGGAUCUGAACUACAGAACAAUAUUCUAAUUUAUUGAGAUACACCUAUUAUGUGUAGUGGUAAUUACAAGCUUGUUACUAGAAAAUAUUUUAUGAAAUGUUUAAUGGGCAUUAAAACCUGAACACGUAGACCAUAUUAACAGAACAAUCAGUUUUAACACAUUUAAAGACAGUAAAUGUAGUAAAAGGACCAUCUCACUUUGCAAGUAUAACUAUACUGUCGGGAAAUACAACCCCAAUUCCAAUGAAGUUGGGACAUUGUGUUAAACAUAAAUAAAAACAGAAUACAAUGAUUUGCAAAUCAUG